UUGCUAUGAUGAUGGACAAAACAUUAUGAAGCUUUCUAUUAUAGUUGGUUGAUGAAUGUCAAUCCUGAGCGGUUACCUGAGCAA